GCCUCCUUGGCCAAAUGGUUACGGCGUCGCCUUCCUAGGAACUUCAGGCGAAGAUUGCGAGUUCGAUCCUCGCAGGAGGUU